rnacentral:rRNA from 1 species
UACGGGGGGAGCAAGCGUUGUUCGGAUUUACUGGGCGUAAAGGGCGCGUAGGCGGCCUCCGCAAGUCAGUUGUGAAAUCUCCGAGCUUAACUCGGAAAGGUCAACUGAUACUGCGGGGCUAGAGUGCGGAAGGGGCAACUGGAAUUCUUGGUGUAGCGGUGAAAUGCGUAGAUAUCGAGAGGAACACCUGCGGCGAAGGCGGCACUCUGGGCUGGAACUGACGCUGAGGAGCGAAAGCGUGGGUAGCAAACAGG